UACGUAGGGUGCGAGCGUUAAUCGGAAUUACUGGGCGUAAAGCGAGCGCAGACGGUUAUUUAAGCAGGAUGUGAAAUCCCCGGGCUUAACCUGGGAACUGCGUUCUGAACUGGAUAGCUAGAGUGUGUCAGAGGGGGGUAGAAUUCCACGUGUAGCAGUGAAAUGCGUAGAGAUGUGGAGGAAUACCGAUGGCGAAGGCAGCCCCCUGGGAUAAUACUGACGUUCAUGCUCGAAAGCGUGGGUAGCAAACAGG
rnacentral:rRNA from 1 species